rnacentral:rRNA from 1 species
GACGAACGCUGGCGGCGUGCUUAACACAUGCAAGUCGAGCGGUAAGGCCCUUUCGGGGGUACGACGAGCGGCGAACGGGUGAGUAACACGCGGGUGACCUGCCCUCAGCUCUGGGAUAAGCCUGGGAAACCGGGUACUAAUACCGGAUAUGACUCCAUGACGCAUGUUGUGGGGUGGAAAGCCUUGUGCGGCUGAGGAUGGGCCCGCGGCCUAUCAGCUUGUUGGUGGGGUGAUGGCCUACCAAGGCGACGACGGGUAGCCGGCCUGAGAGGGCGACCGGCCACACUGGGACUGAGACACGGCCCAGACUCCUACGGGAGGCAGCAGUGGGGAAUCUUGCGCAAUGGGCGAAAGCCUGACGCAGCGACGCCGCGUGAGGGAUGACGGCCU